ensembl:lncRNA
CCUCAGUCAUCAGGCAGUAUUGGGUUUUGGUCACGUUCAGUCUCCAGGCAAGCUGAGCUCCAGCCAGGCAGGUAGUCUGGAAAGCAGCUCCCUGACUGGCUCUCUCUCCUUGGGGCCAGACCUGCCUCACUGCCAGUGCUGCAUCUCCUACGAAGCCCGUCUGAAACGCCUGUCCUGUGGCCACCUCUACUGUGACCCCUGCACAGACCAGAUCGUCAACCUGGCCUUUGAGGACAUCGAGGGACUCUCUGAUUACCCCUGCCCCAUGUGCAAGUCCCUCCGCCAGCUUGGGGACCUGGGCCCCCCCUCUUAUGGGUACCUGGGUACCCCCUCUUUUGGGCCAUGUGGGACCCUGCAGUAGCAGGUGGCUAAAGAGCAUGGGAGCAGCUGGGGGUAAAACUGAGGCAGUUUAUACUGUACAUCAAGGGGUGUGGUUAAAAAACAAAUGCAUGUUGUCCCCUCUCCAGAUGAAAUACUGUAGGAACCAUUUAGACUUUUCAGUUAUGUCUUUAGUGUUUUGAUUUGAAUAUUUGAAUGCACUGCCUUACACUGAGAUUGUGAUCUGGUAUUGUGUGAUGGAUAGUGGCUCAGUGUUUCUUCUUUGUGUAAUAUGGUGGUGGAAGUGAAACUAAUGGAAGUGCAUAACAUUACAGAUAAUGUCCAUUGGUGUGCCAUGACAUACUGUAAAUUGAUAUUACAGGGUGAUUAAGCCAGAGCUAAGUAUUAGAUGUUUGUGUCAGACAGUUCUUUACAUUUAUGUGUACUGCUUAUUAUUAGUAGACAUUUGGACCUUACUUAAAAAAUAUGAUAUUUUGAGUAUACUUACUGCUUAUGCAUUUUAAUUUAACUUAAUUGUACAGUGCCAUGCUACUUUUAAAGUGUUCAAUAUCAUAUUGUAAAUAUAUAUUUUGCUAAAAA